AGUGAGAAAACCUGAGAAGAAAGACACACUUGCCAAGCAUGCAGAGCACCUCAGUCCCCGAACCAGUAGUGAUUACGAUGAUGGAGUCUCCUGAAAAAAACAAGGACACACACCUUGGCGAGAUGUAUGCACAGAAGCAAAGACCUGAGUUCUUCCCAAGUUGGCCAGUCUGAGUUUGAGUUGCUCGGGGUUCAGAACAAGCAAGGAGCUACUUGGAGCCAUUACAACAGCAUCCCCCCAUUGGACCACCAAGCAACAACUGCCACCCUUCUAGGGUACCUUAGCUCCUGAUUUGCCCUGUGCCAGCGGUGUCUCAAGGGACAUAAAGAGCUGCAGCAGCAGGGGUGUCUCUACUAAUUUUAGGAAAUUGGGAAGACUUUGGCUGUAAUUGAUUGCUCGAUGACCUGUUGGACUAUGAGCACUGUCUCAUGUGGUUUUUGCAUAUUUAUUCUUUCAUUUCUUUUUAGGUGUCUGUUAGCAACCUUCUCCCCCCAUUGCAUCAUUCUUAAACUGUGAGCCCCCUGAGGGCUAGAGACUGUGACUAAUUCUUUCCUGUUCAUUUUUUUGCCCUGGGUUUCAUACAGUUCUUGCUUCCAGUAGCCUGUUAAUACCCUUAUCACUACCACUGGGUGAAAGUAAGAGCUUCUGUUCAUCAAAUCUCUUGUGCAGUCCUGGUUCAUAAGCAUUUAUGCUUAUUAAGUAAUAAUUUUUCAGAGGCAGUCUAGCUCUGCUGAAGUGCCUUUAGAAAGAUGGGUUUUAGUCAAAUGUUUGGCUUUGCUGAAAAUUCUGGUGGCAUUUUGGUUUUAAACAGGACGGGAAGACUAUCAAUCUUCCCUCCCCUUUUUCCAGCCAUGGGCAUUUGUUCUGUCCUUCUUCCUGUGCUCUAUAAAUCAAGGUGCUAGAUGUGUGACAUCUCAUAUGUUGUAUGCCCUGAAUCAUCAGCUGACAGGCUGAUUUGUUUUUUUCUUCAUUUCUGUAUUGAAUAAUUGAAAAAGAAUGAUCACAGCAAAAACCAAGCAAAUAAAGCUUAUAUAGGAUGACAAUUUCUAUUACACUGAAAUUCCUCAAGUUCCAGGCAAUUUUUAAUUUUUUCUUUUGUGGGGAUCUCAUUAAAUCUAUGGUAACCAUUUCUCGCCAGCUAUUUCUUUAAGGUAUUUUUAAGCAAGUAAUUUAAAGUAUACAAG
rnacentral:lncRNA from 1 species